CUUGAAUAUGCUGCUGUAUCUACCUCCUUCAUACUGCAUUUGACUUUCUGUAAUCAAAAGGAUUAUUUAACAAUCAAAUAGAGCAAUGUCACUGCAAAUUCACUGAGUGUGAACGGACAUAACUGACAACUGAGUUUUGACUUAAAAUGAUCAGGGAUCAUGGCUUAUUUGAGCUGUUGCUCCUCAGUGGACAUCAUAGGAUCUUGCAGAUGUGUAUCAAUCCUUCGCAAGUAGGGAGAGCUCCCUUGGUUACGACAGUCUUAAAGAUCUCCUGUUACAUAAAUUUGACAUGAUGGCCAAGUGACGCAUGCUGGGAGGGCUCAACCUCUACGCCUGGAAACUUGGCUCUUUGGGAAGAUGUGGCAAUGCAAAUUUGUUGAAGAUGAAGGAUAUAUCACUCUUCUGGAAUGAAUGGAAUGAAUGGAAUGUCUAGCCAGAGACCUUUCAGAAAUCUUAAUAAUUGUGGCAAUUUUUUUUUCUUAACUGUUCACUUCUCUUAACAAAAGAAAAGCCACUGCAAUGCCCCACCUAUUCCCCUCACACAUGUCUGUUCUUGAUACUAAUUUUUACAUUUUGACAUUUAAAUAGUAACUAUAAUUAUCCACAUUUUUUCUUCUUUGGGCAAUUACAUUUGCAUUCUUAGUGAAGAACUGUAAAACCAAAUGGAUGGACCAAAAAAAUGGUUUAAACAGAAGUCGUACAAACAUGCAUAUUUGAAAGAGGAGAUUCUUAUAACUACAUAAAAUAAAUAAUGUAAUAUCUUCUAUUUAUACUUUCCAGUAGAUUAAGUGCUGAGGACACAGUCAACAAAAACAACAUUAUAUGUUUCUACUGGCAAUAUCCCUGGUGUUGCCUAAUUGGUUGAAUUUCAAACCAUUAUCUUUAAAGAAGCAUCUCUAUAGGUAUAGUUAGUUCUUCUUUGCUUUCUGCCAGAGAAGCCUGCAGAACACAAUCAAGGGAUAUUGAUGUUCAAAGAAAAGAAUGGCCUGACAAUUCAAACAACAUACCUAAAAUUUUUUACGUUCUAAGAAAAUAGAUGCUGUGUUGCAUUUUUGUGCAUCUUUGUACCUCCUUGGUUGAUAACAAAGUAAGUUUUCUAGCACUGCCUCUGGGUUCUUUCUAAGUAGAGACUUGUCCUGUAACAAGAUGAAUGAAAGUAUGAGCAGAUAAAUAAUGUGCAUACAACGUAGAAUGAAACUUUUAAAAUUAACGUAGCAACUUCAAAAGACUUAAAAAAUGAAAAUUCCAUGGAAAAAUUUUAAUAUGCCUUAUUAUCCUCCAAUAUUUGUAGACCUCAGAAAAAAGUUGUUUCUCAUUCUGUUGAACAUAUAUUUAUGAAUUUUGUUCAAAUGCAAAAAUCAACUAAUGGCUAAUGUCUAAAAAUAAGAAAACAUAUUAGCUAAUAAAAGACUUUUGGGAAAAUGUUAAUUUGUUUUGAUUGAAAAUUGUUCAUUAAUGUACUCUCAUGAACUACUAUUUAGAUUUCAUCAUGAAUUUAAACUACUUAUCACAAGUUUUACGAACAGAAUAUAGUCAGGUAAUAUUUCCAAUUUAUUUAAUAAGUUUUUGUUUAGCAUAUACUAUAUGUCUGGCACUAUAAAAGACACUGGUUAUAUUGCAAUAAACAAAAUAUAAUUGUUUUCUAUAAGAUUUGCUUGAAUUAUUUUUUACCUAAUUUAAUACUUUAAAAAUUUGCUAACGUAAAAUUUUUUAUGACUUACAAAAUACUUAUAUAAGCAUUAUCUCAUUGAUUCAUUUUAUAAUCCUGUAAAAGAUAUGAAGUUAUUUUUAUUGUUUUCAUUUUACAUGUAAAGGAAAAAUGCCCCAAAGUCUUAAGUAAAUUUAAAAAUAUUUUUUGGCUUGCAAGUAAUGAAGUUAGGACUUAAACAUAUUUCUAUAAUCCCUGCAUCAUACUUUGCAUAUGCUCUCCAAAAUGCAAAUAAAUGCUUUGUUUAAUAUCACAAUGAUCUCUUUCCUUUAACUUUGAGUAUUUAAAAUAUUACCUAUAAUAUUUCUAUAUUACAUUAAUAACAUAAUAUAGGUUGGAUUUUACUUUUAUCAUUUGAGUCUCAUGUGCUUAAAUUUCAUAAGUUGCAAGCAUUAAUAUUUUGUAUUUUGCUGAAUCUAUUUUUAUCUAAUGGCAUAUUACUCGGAAAUGAAGUUUUAGUUGGAUAGGUCUUCAAGUGCAUUAUAUAGAGGCUGAAAUCCACAAUUGUAUUUAAUUUUCAUUUUUCUAUUUUGGCUUUAAGCUAAGGUCUGUUACAUACAAUGUCUAAUGAGGUAAUCUUGUGAACAAUGCCUAAUUCUGACUAAUAAACUCAAGUACAGC
rnacentral:lncRNA from 1 species